AUCAUGGUGUAAGCACAUGUCAAAGUGAGAACUCAUGUUGUAUGAAGAACUUCCAUGAGGCCUCCCAUCUCUUCUCCCCAGUUCUUACCAUCAUACCCCAGAAAACCAACCUCCCUCACAGGAAUUCUCCAGCAGCAAGCAGCUCCGGAGACGAAGCUGUCCUGAGGACCAAGAUGCCACAUCUGCACCCCAAGAUAAAGAAUCUACAUCAGCUGCUGUCGGAAGGGAGGACAUCAGCCACGGUGAGCAUCACCAACGUGAGAGAAGAGAGGACUUGGAUGGAUGAGCUCCUGACACCUCCUCACCUCCAGCUUGGAAAUGAGCAGUCAGCCUCUCAUAACUGACUAGAUGCACCUCGCUAGUGGGAUGAAAAAGACCGUUUCUAAGAUGUCAUUGCUGCAGGGUCUCUCUGCCCCAAGUCACCCACCUGUCUACAGGUUCACAGGAUCGUGCAGGGUGUUCACCAUAGCCAGGGGGCGGGGCAGGAGUGGAAUGACCAGAUUACACUGGUUUCUUGCAAAGGGCCAUUCUUCCAAGUCUGUACCGCUGAAUCAAGACUGUCCAUACAUGAACUCACAAGCCCUUUUCAUGUGCUUGCUACAAGGUAGGGCGUGUGCUAGGUCCUAAGGGUGCAGGGUAUAGUGUAUGUAAUUUAGAUGAAAAUGUCCCUCGAAAGUCUAUGUGCUAAAGUCUGGUCCUCAGUUGGCACUGUUGGAAGGCAGUAGAAACUUUGAGAUGUGGGGAAGAGUUGGGGGGUCUUGAGUUCAUGGGGUAGAUGCCUUAGGAUGGGAUGGUGGAACGGAGACCUUUCCGUUUUUCUCCUUUUUGUUUCCUGUCAAUGUGGUGAAUGAUUUGGAUCUCUGUGUGUUCCCACUAUGAUGUGCUUUGCUGGUCCAGGCCCGAAGCAACCGGAACUAACAGCACUCUCCACUCUGUGAUGAGAUGCUUAGCUCAGCUAUUUGUUCCUGUGAGGAG
rnacentral:lncRNA from 1 species